GACGAACGCUGGCGGCGCGCUUAACACAUGCAAGUCGAACGGAAAGGCCUGCUUUCCCUUGUGGAUUGCGGGUACUCGAGUGGCGAACGGGUGAGUAACACGUGAGUGAUCUGCCCCCAACUUGGGUAUAAGCCUGGGAAACUGGGUCUAAUUCCCGAUAGGACUGCAGGGUGGUGCCUGUGGUGGAAAACGAUUUUCUAGUGGUUGGGGAUGAGCUCGCGGCCUAUCAGCUUGUUGGUGGGGUAAUGGCCUACCAAGGCGGCGACGGGCAGCCGGCCUGAGAGGGGGGACGGUCACAUUGGGACUGAGAGACGGCCCAGACGCCAACGGGAGGCAGCAGUGGGGAAUAAUGGACAAUGGGCGGAAGCCUGAUGCAGCGACGCCGCGUGGGGGAUGACGGCCUUCGGGUUGUAAACUCCUUGCGACCGCGAGGAAGCCACCUGGUUGGAAGGGUGGUGACGGUAGUGGUAGAAGAAGCACCGGCUAACUACGUG
rnacentral:rRNA from 1 species